GUUUCCUCUCUAAUGGAUGAACUCCUUGGAAUAAAACAGAGAGUGAGAGUGGUGAUUGUUGAGAAUGAGAAACUAUACGAGGAGCUGAAGGCAAAGGCAGUAGAAGAAACUAUACACAUAUUAAAGAAUAUACAUUUGUAGACAGCACGUUAAACGAGUGCAGACCAGAAAAGCCUUCAAAGCAAAGACUCCAAUAAUCAAGCUGAGGACCGAAAAUGGAAGAAAGAAAGGCUGGAGUGUCUCUAUCAAGCGCAAACUGAGACUCUGGGGGCCCAAGUGGUCUCCCUGAAGUAAGUUGGCUUUAAUCAGUGGCCAAGCCCAAAACAUCGGGUGGUCUGUGUCUGAAGUGUGUUAAGCAUGAAGCGAUCCUGGCAGAGACACACUCCAAUGUCAAUGUACAAAGCAUUGAAAAUCUCACUAAAGCGAGAUGAGCUGGUGACAGUGGUCUGCUCUCUGAGGGCCAGUCAGACUGAAGCCCAGCAGAGAGAGCGGGCUGCCUAUCAACAGGUCAAACAGGCACUGAUGGCAGCAGAAGAGGCAAACCUGGAGCAUUGGUGCAGUGUGAGUACUUCCACAAUGAGCUGACUAGACAGAGGGAAAGACUGGAGAGAGAGCUGGCAUCUGAACAGUAAGAAAGAGAAGGCUGCCCUCUAGUGUAAUUUUAAUUAUGUCACACAACUACAGUUUUGUAAAAGUCUUUGAAAAAGACUUCAGAUUCAGUGCAAAAAAUAAAUAAAUGGCCCCAUCAUAUUCUGCACUACUGUUUAGUAAAUAUCAGAAAUUGACGAAAUAUUCAAGUUUAAACCAAAGUGUUCAAAAAUAUGUUUUUUCCCCCAUGUCUGUUGGGGUCUAAAAUUCUGAGACCACUAGAGCUCCUGUUAUACAUUCUUAUGUUUUCACAUUUACCUUUUAUUUAAAAUAUGCUUUCAUCCAAA